AGGUCGUGAUGUGGACACUUGCGCAAUAAGUCAUUGUAUCUCUCUCAUGCCUCAUAUAAUGAUUCACCCAAAUUAAGGGUAAAUGUAGUAAUAUCGUUAAGGUCAU